rnacentral:rRNA from 1 species
UGCAAGUCGAGCGGAUGAAGGGAGCUUGCUCCUGGAUUCAGCGGCGGACGGGUGAGUAAUGCCUAGGAAUCUGCCUGGUAGUGGGGGAUAACGUCCGGAAACGGGCGCUAAUACCGCAUACGUCCUGAGGGAGAAAGUGGGGGAUCUUCGGACCUCACGCUAUCAGAUGAGCCUAGGUCGGAUUAGCUAGUUGGUGGGGUAAAGGCCUACCAAGGCGACGAUCCGUAACUGGUCUGAGAGGAUGAUCAGUCACACUGGAACUGAGACACGGUCCAGACUCCUACGGGAGGCAGCAGUGGGGAAUAUUGGACAAUGGGCGAAAGCCUGAUCCAGCCAUGCCGCGUGUGUGAAGAAGGUCUUCGGAUUGUAAAGCACUUUAAGUUGGGAGGAAGGGCAGUAAGUUAAUACCUUGCUGUUUUGACGUUACCAACAGAAUAAGCACCGGCUAACUUCGUGCCAGCAGCCGCGGUAAUACGAAGGGUGCAAGCGUUAAUCGGAAUUACUGGGCGUAAAGCGCGCGUAGGUGGUUCAGCAAGUUGGAUGUGAAAUCCCCGGGCUCAACCUGGGAACUGCAUCCAAAACUACUGAGCUAGAGUACGGUAGAGGGUGGUGGAAUUUCCUGUGUA